GACGAACGUUGGCGGCGUGCCUAAUACAUGCAAGUCGAACGCACUCUCGUUUAGAUUGCAGGAGUUUGCUCCUGAUUGAUAAACAUUUGAGUGAGUGGCGGACGGGUGAGUAACACGUGGGUAACCUGCCCUAAAGUGGGGGAUAACAUUUGGAAACAGAUGCUAAUACCGCAUAAAACCUAACACCGCAUGGUGUAGGGUUGAAAGAUGGUUUCGGCUAUCACUUUAGGAUGGACCCGCGGUGCAUUAGUUAGUUGGUGAGGUAAAGGCUCACCAAGACCGUGAUGCAUAGCCGACCUGAGAGGGUAAUCGGCCACACUGGGACUGAGACACGGCCCAGACUCCUACGGGAGGCAGCAGUAGGGAAUCUUCCACAAUGGACGAAAGUCUGAUGGAGCAACGCCGCGUGAGUGAAGAAGGUUUUCGGAUCGUAAAACUCUGUUGUUGGAGAAGAAUGUAUCUGAUAGUAACUGAUCAGGUAGUGACGGUAUCCAACCAGAAAGCCACGGCUAACUACGUG
rnacentral:rRNA from 1 species